rnacentral:rRNA from 1 species
GAUGAACGCUGGCGGCGUGCCUAAUACAUGCAAGUCGAGCGAACAGACGAGGAGCUUGCUCCUCUGACGUUAGCGGCGGACGGGUGAGUAACACGUGGAUAACCUACCUAUAAGACUGGGAUAAUUUCGGGAAACCGGAGCUAAUACCGGAUCAUAUAUUGAACCGCAUGGUUCAAUAGUUCAAGACGGCUUUGCUGUCACUUAUAGAUGGAUCCGCGUCGCAUUAGCUAGUUGGUAAGGUAACGGCUUACCAAGGCAACGAUGCGUAGCCGACCUGAGAGGGUGAUCGGCCACACUGGAACUGAGACACGGUCCAGACUCCUACGGGAGGCAGCAGUAGGGAAUAUUCCGCAAUGGGCGAAAGCCUGACGGAGCAACGCCGCGUGAGUGAUGAAGGUCUUCGGAUCGUAAAGCUCUGUUAUUAGGGAAGAACAAAUGUGUAAGUAACUAUGCACGUCUUGACGGUACCUAAUCAGAAAGCCACGGCUAACUACGUG